ACUGAAUUGACAAGGUUGUUGUUCUGAACUGAUAAUACUGAAAUCCAAAUAGUUUUGCCAAACUGAAUUGACAUCAAGAGACUGACACAAUUACAAUAUCAUAUUCUCAAAUUGGAAAAAUAAUUAGGCUCCAAUUGACACAAGAAAUUUUAUACCACAUUCAAUUUACAACUCAAUUCGACCCUGUGAUGGUGUGGCCCUUGGGAGAGAUGCAGCUGUGGCCGGACCCCUCG
rnacentral:lncRNA from 1 species